UUAAAGCAAUUUCAAAGUGACGCGUUCGCGUACAUAUAACGGUACUGGAGCCGCCAGAGACUCCAGAGACCCAAGCGCAGGCGACGCCACAAGAACAGUUAGAAUCAUUUCACAAUCGAAUGGCGGUGGGAGGCAAGAGAGAGCGUGUGGAGCGGAGAGAGCGGAUCCUUGCACUGCUCUCUUGUUAGUGAUGCUCAACGAGAUAUUCGACAUACGCAUGUAAAAAUUGCAUCUGAUGUCCAGAGUCUCGCUGUCCUCGCUCUUGCCCACGGAAUUCUGCACCUCGCACUUGACAAUGGCGUCGUGGAAGUUUCGCGUCACAUUUCGUAUCACCUGUACAGUGAACAUCCCAGGAUCGAGACUCUGAAGACUGUAAUUAUUGAAAGGAUUGAAGGAUUAAAAGGAUUUUUAAGCUUAAUUGGUGGCUCUUCGAAAAGGCUUUAAAUAUAAUAAUUAAUAAUCAUA
rnacentral:sRNA from 1 species